UACGUAGGGGGCGAGCGUUGUCCGGAGUUACUGGGCGUAAAGCGCACGCAGGCGGUGCGGCACGUUUGGGGUUACAGCUCCCGGCUCAACUGGGAGAGCGCCUCGAAGACGGCGGCACUUGAGGGCCAGAGAGGGACACGGAACUCCGGGUGGAGUGGUGAAAUGCGUAGAUAUGCGGAGGAACACCGAUGGCGAAGGCAAUCCCCUGGGCCUGCACUGACGCUCAUGCACGAAAGCGUGGGGAGCAAACAGG
rnacentral:rRNA from 1 species